rnacentral:rRNA from 1 species
AUCUAUGGUCAUAACACCCUGCAUGCACCCAAUCACGUCUGAUCUCAAAAGUUAAACACGGUCUGGCCUGGUCAGUACUUGGAUGGGAGAACAAAAUAAUUAUUUCUUGUGGGGAGGAGUGUUUUAUCAUCGACC